AGCAUUUAGUUGGGCACUCUAAUGAGACUGCCGGUGAUAAACCGGAGGAAGGUGGGGACGACGUCAGAUCAUCAUGCCCCUUAUGACCUGGGCAACACACGUGCUACAAUGGGAAGUACAACGAGUCGCAAACCGGCGACGGUAAGCUAAUCUCUUAAAACUUCUCUCAGUUCGGACUGGAGUCUGCAACUCGACUCCACGAAGGCGGAAUCGCUAGUAAUCGCGAAUCAGCAUGUCGCGGUGAAUACGUUCCCGGGUCUUGUACACACCGCCCGUCAAAUCAUGGGAGUCGGAAGUACCCAAAGUCGCUUGGCUAACUUUUAGAGGCCGGUGCCUAAGGU
rnacentral:rRNA from 1 species